rnacentral:rRNA from 1 species
GAGUUUGAUCCUGGCUCAGGACGAACGCUGGCGGCGCGCCUAACACAUGCAAGUCGAACGAGAGAGAAGGAGCUUGCUUCUUCGAUCGAGUGGCGAACGGGUGAGUAACGCGUGAGGAACCUGCCUCAAAGAGGGGGACAACAGUUGGAAACGACUGCUAAUACCGCAUAAGCCCACGGGUCGGCAUCGACCUGAGGGAAAAGGAGCAAUCCGCUUUGAGAUGGCCUCGCGUCCGAUUAGCUAGUUGGUGAGGUAACGGCUCACCAAGGCGACGAUACAUAGCCGACCUGAGAGGGUGAUCGGCCACACUGGGACUGAGACACGGCCCAGACUCCUACGGGAGGCAGCAGUGGGGAAUAUUGCACAAUGGAGGAAACCCUGAUGCAGCGACGCCGCGUGAAGGAAGAAGUAUCUCGGUAUGUAAAGCUCUAUCAGCAGGGAAGAAAAUGACGGUACCUGACUAAGAAGCCCCGGCUAACUACGUGCCAGCCGCCGCGGUAAUUC